ACGUGGUUAGCUCAGUUGGUAGAGCGUUUCACUGGAAAUGGAGAGUUCCCUGGUUUGAUACCAGGGCCAGGAU
rfam:Ixodes scapularis strain Wikel colony gcontig_1107728675296, whole genome shotgun sequence.